rnacentral:rRNA from 1 species
GACAGAGGGUGCAAACGUUGUUCGGAAUUACUGGGCGUAAAGCGCGUGUAGGCUGCUUCGCAAGUCGGGUGUGAAAGCCCUGGGCUCAACCUAGGAAGUGCACUCGAAACUGCGGAGCUUGAGUCCUGGAGAGGAAGGCGGAAUUCUCGGUGUAGAGGUGAAAUUCGUAGAUAUCAGGAGGAACACCAGUGGCGAAGGCGGCUUUCUGGACGAUAACUGACGCUGAGACGCGAAAGCGUGGGGAGCAAACAGG